AUUGAACGCUGGCGGCAUGCUUUACACAUGCAAGUCGAACGGUAACAGGCCUUCGGGUGCUGACGAGUGGCGAACGGGUGAGUAAUGCAUCGGAACGUGCCCAAUCGUGGGGGAUAACGUAGCGAAAGUUACGCUAAUACCGCAUAAGCCCUGAGGGGGAAAUGGGGGACCGCAAGGCCUCACGCGAAUGGAGCGGCCGAUGUCAGAUUAGCUAGUUGGUGGAGUAAAGGCCCACCUAGGCGACGAUCUGUAGCGGGUCUGAGAGGAUGAUCCGCCACACUGGGACUGAGACACGGCCCAGACUCCUACGGGAGGCAGCAGUGGGGAAUUUUGGACAAUGGGCGCAAGCCUGAUCCAGCCAUGCCGCGUGCGGGACGAAGGCCUUCGGGUUGUAAACCGCUUUCAGCCGGAAAGAAAUCGCCGUUUUAAUACAGACGGUGGAUGACGGUACCGGAAGAAGAAGCACCGGCUAACUACGUG
rnacentral:rRNA from 1 species